CAAACCCUUUUCCUUUAUUCUCCUUGCUCUUCAAUCCAUCUUCUACCGUUUUCUCUCUCAUCUACAAUUCAUCUUCGACCGCUAUAAUCAACAAAAUAAUCGACUGGAUUUAUCUCUUCCGCUUCAUUAUUUCAACAUCUUCAUCGCAAACAAGAAGGCGAUUCUCAUCAAAAAGAUUAUCACAAACCCUAAAUCGGAACCAGUCGAACGCUAAUCCAGAAGAUAUAUUGAGCAUCAUGUUCCUUGAUUCGCCCGUUAAGAAAGGAUCACUCUAUUACUAGGACACACUACUACCUAUACGCCAAAGGUGGGUCCAUGAUUGACGUUUUGAAGGCAGGACAUUUGGGGUGAUAUCAAGACAGCUUGUGCCAUUGCGUGACCCAUUUUAAUAUAUUUGCCCAGGAUUGAGAAACGGAUGAAAGUUUGUGAUCCUUACUUUUACCCCAAACAACCAUAUAAAGUCCCACAACUACAACAACCGGUCCAAGAACCCUGUAAGAAUAUAAAAUUAGCGGUCAUUGUAUGUUUGAGUAAAUAAGCAAGAACUCCCUAGGUAUGUUUUCUCAGCUAGAAUAAUGGAUAUCAUGAUUGUGGCAUUUAGAAUUGCAAUUAUGAGAUUUGAUUGCGUUUACCUUGAUAAUAUGAAUGUAAAUUGAAGUGAUGAUGAUAAAUUCACCAUAUCUUGAAUCAGUUAAUAUAUGAUUGGGAUAUUUAACUGUGUUUAGGAAGAUUUGGACAGUUUCAACGAUAUUUUUUAAAAGGUAUUACGAUUGAUUAGCAAAUAUGUUCAUAUCUGUAUGUAAAUCGGUCUAAUUGGUAUGAAAAUAUUUGACCAAACAGUUUGGUUUCGAAGGUCAUGUGAUGAGAAUCGUUCUCGAUUUAAUCGAGCAUAGGGUUUAAUCGUAUGUAACUUUGCUGGUUUUGGUCAGGAGAAUUUUAUACAUACUGACUAUCAGACAUCCAAUGUUAUCGUGCUUAAUCAUGUUAAAAAAAUCAUUUCAGGAGUCAUAUCAAGAGCCCUUAUGGACAUAUGUGAUGUUUUCGAGGCCGUUGAUCAAAGUAGCUUCUUAUAGGAGACAAUUAUUAGCAUGGCUUUACUUGGCACAAUGAUUGGAGCUGCAGCCGGUGGGUGGUUAAACGAUGUGCAAGGACGCAAAAGUGCUAUGCUAAUUGCUGAUGUUAUAUUUACAGUUGGAUCUUUUGUGAUGGCGGCUGGACUUGAUCCAUAUGUGCUUAUAUUUGGUCCAACCAGUUUCAACUCUGGAAUGUUUCUGUUUGAGUUUCCUGUUAAAAAUCGAUGAACACACAGAGAUUCUAUUCUCUACUUAAAGAAUGUGAUGGAAAUGAACAUCGGUAUUGUUUGAAGAUUAAAAAAUGAAGUUUUGGUUGGGUAGCAAAAAUUUUAGACCAGUUUGUAAAGCUCAGAUAUUCACUAGCGAAGCAGUUUCUAUUAUAAAGUUCUUGAAACUGAUUCCAAACAAGGCCAGAAAGAGUUCCAGACAGAGUUGGGCAAUGAAGUGUUUCAAGUCCACUAUGUGAUCGGGCCCACUCCUAGCUGACGUUACGGUUUUGAACCAUUAGUCGAACCACCUAUUACAUCUGGUAAGUAUAAUUACAUUAUGAGCUUCCAUGCUAAUAUAAAUAAAAUUUAGAAGGUAAAUUGAAAUUGUUCAUUUUGUUCAUAUUUUGCACUAAAUUCACUGAUGUUGGAUUUUGGAGCUUUAAUCGGCCGGAAAUCGGAUGCCAAUUUAGUUUAUACCUUAAAAGCCCGCCGCAGCACGCUGACGCGUCUACUAUUACUCUUACUGUUACAAUUACUAUUACACAAGUUUGAUAAACAAUAGCAGCACCCCAUUGUGGGCCAUGGGGUGCUACAUGUGCAUCUCUUUGACCUGCAUUUCACCCGGGAUAAUCUAGAUUGUUUGAAUUACACAUGGAAAUUUCGAAUUUCAUCGUGGGAAAAGUUGUUAGAAUUGGAAUCAAGUUUGUUAGAUUGGAUCUGUUCACUGAAAUUGCUGGAAACUGAAUUCGCUUAAUAUUGCAUCCGAUUUGAUAGUUCACUACUUUGGUUUACAUUGUUGUGUUUAUUUAGAGUUUAUUGAGCUAUAGUUGCAUAUCAUGGAUUUGAGGUAAAAUUAGUCUGGUAUGUUACUAUAUUGCGGUAGCAAAAUGCUUUUUCAGUCAAAUUUUAAAAAAGUUUAAAAUAGACGGGUUAAAUGGGUCGAGUUGACCCGUAACACUUUCCGCUCAAAUGUUGUAGGUUUGGUAAAAAAGUAUUUACUGUCAAAUUUGGUUACAAAAUUCCGUUAUUUUAGUAACCUUAUAAUUUUUAAACAAAUAGUUUUAUAUUUUUUGUUUUAAAUUUACACUUUGGUCCACUAUUGUCCCGUAGUUAUCCAACUUUCUUUCCUUGAACCUGUUAGAGAUACAUGUAAGAGAUGAGAUAGAGAUGAGAUAGAGGAACUGAUGGAUGAUGAGGGAGAUAUGGCUAAAAUGUGUUUGAUUGAGAAGAAAAAGGCGUAUGGGGUCAUUAUUCUGCGGUGCAGAUCAAUCUUUGGCAGGACACAAAUCAAUGAAUGGGAUUCAAUCUUUGGCAGAAACAUCUCGGCAACGACAAACCCCAGCCACUCGGUAUAUGCAAGGACAAAGACGCGAAGCCUCAAGUGUGGGAAUAUGUCAAACCUUUAAAAGGGUAGGCGGUUGAAUCUUUACACCAUAGAAGAUGAUGGACAAGGUGUUCUUACAUCUUGGAUCACUUAAAUUCAAUUGCUUAUAUGCACGUUUUAGAGCGUUUGUGGUAAAUUUUGGCGAUACGCUUGAACAAUGGAGCAAUGGUGUUUUCAGGUAUAAGUUAAUCUUUGGUUUUAUAGCUGAUGAUAGUUCUUUGAAUUUCAAAAAAGACGUCUAUUGUAGAGAACUUAACUUAAAAAAUUGACCUAUAGGAAAAAAAACAUAAAAUUUAAAUAGGAAUCCAUGAAAUUUUGACUCUUUAAACUAAAGUUUGACUCAAAAAGUCAAAUGGAUUUGGUUUUACAUGUCAACAUUGCAUAGAGUAUUCUUCGGCAACGGAGUUGGUAAUAUGCUGGUGAUUGCUGCUCUGCUCUGAUGACUUGCUGAGAGUGUGAAUUCAGUUUCUAAAAAUUAAAAGGAUCAUGGGGUUGGUGAGGUAAUUUCAUUCUAUUGAUGUAGAAUUGCCUAAGGCUUUACACAAUCAAUAUUUUCUUUCAGUUAUUUACAUUCUAACUUUAUGUUGGAAGGGAUCUCUUUUAUUUCCAAUGAUGUUCUUUGUUGUAGUUGAAACCAAGAUUUUUUUGAGUCUAAGAAUGGAAGGUUAGUCAGUCCUACUUUAAUAUGGUUAGUUAUGAUUUAAGGAUGGUUUUGAAUAGAGAAUUUGCUAGGUGCUUAAGAAAAAGAAAAAAAAAAUCAUAUUUAACAAAUCUUGAGCAACAAGUGUGUACAUAUGAACAAUGCUUACCUGAAUUAUAUUUUUCAUUAUAUAAGUAGUAAACACCAUUUGGUUCUAUAUAUAGAUUUAGUUUCUGUCUCAUCUCAAACUGGUCAAACUAGAAGUACUUAUAGAUAUUUAAAGGAUUGUCUCUUUUUGUUUUAUAUGUAUGGUGAUAGUAUAUUUUGCGAACUUUUACAAUACCUUGACAUUUUGUGACAUUUGGUUCAGAUUUACAUGAAAUCUGUUCAAUAUUUAGCCAAGGGUACUGAAAAUCUAAAUUGAAAUCGGUGCAAUUUCAAAUGUAACACUUCGUCAGCCUAACUCUUCUGACUCUCCUAGAGGUACCUUAACAUAUGAGGUUGAUUUGAAAUCCUUUCGUUGUUGGGUGCAUUUACGUAAAAUAACAAUGGUGGAACAAAAAGGUAUGUCUUGUGGGUUGAGCUUUACUUUGGUAGGUCCUGAACAAGUUUGGUGGAGAUCUUGCUGGUAUACUGGUAGUUGCCGAUGACAUCCAGGCUGAACAAAAUCAAGCAAAUACAAUGAUAUCGUGUUAUGCUUCGUCAUCAAAACCGGCUCAGGUACCGCCAUCAUUGGCAAAAACUCAUUGGCAAAGAUAUCAUACCUUUUUCAGGCUUACAAACUUGAUGAAGACAUUAAGGAAAAAUGUGGGAUUAGUAAGCAAUUUUAAUUAAGGAUAUGUGUAGGAUGGUGAGAAAAGUACCUGGCGUUGUUUCAAUUGAUUACACUCUUACACCGGGGCACUUGUACCCUGUGUAAUAUGCCGAUUGCUUUUGUUUGCUAAGGUUUUUCAAUGUUGCAGAGAGUUUGUCUAAAUCGUUACUAGAACGUGCUAAUCUUUCAAGUAUAUGGGUGAACUGUACCACGUGGCUUUUAGCGCUGGAACUGAGUUGGAUGAAAAUGGUUUUUGCUGAAGUUACUUUUGAAUAAAUUAGACAUACUUUCAAGAAAUACUCCAAAUUUGCAUUUUUGUUACAGAUUCGAGACUACAUGUAGCUUACAUGGAUCUUGAAAUGAAUCAACCAAUUGUAGAAAGUUAUUACCCCGUAUGUUUUUUAUUUGCAUAUAACAAUGAGGUAUGCGUUUAAUCCAGCCAUACAAUUACUAUAGAUUUAGACAUGGGUAGGGUGGGUUGCGUAAUGAGUCAAGACGAUUCAUUAUCAUAUGCGGGUCGGAGCAAAUCGGGUUGAGCCGAACAUUUUUUUGUCCCAAUUUUUUGAAGUUUUAUAAUCUAUAUUUUGUUACAGUAGUAAUAUAGUUUCACUAUUGAAUCUUUUCUAUUAAAAUGAUGUACGAGGAGGAUGUGUGAAAAAAUUACAUACAAGGUGCAUCUUUAUUGAUAAUUAAAAGCUAUAACAAGAUUCUUCAUAAAGCAUCCAACCAUCUAAUAAGGUAUUAGAACAUGGUAAUUUUAACCAAAGACUGGAAAAUCUGUUGGUUGUGAUCUUAAAGUUGUUGCUAAAUUGGUGUAAAUUUUAGAUCUGGAGUGCCCUAGAAAAAAAAUGCAGUACCUUCUUUAAUAUCAUAGCAUAUUUAUUAACUUACACAAUAAUCCUCUUCGUGAUGAUUAGACACAUGUUAUACACAUGCAAGAGGAGGAUAUUUAAUUUACGCCAACUUUUGCAGGAUGCCUUCAAUGUACAAUGGUGAAUUUUCUACAGCAACCUUUGUUUUUGAAAUUCUUACAUCGAUCGCCAACAUUCGGAGUGCAUUUUUGAGCUUAAAAGCAAAAGGGAUGUCCAUACAUGGAAGCAUUCUAGCGAAGAACUGGGAUAAAGUGACAAUUGUGGCGGACCCGAAUCCGAGCUUGCGUCUAAUCUAUCAACUAUUUCUCCACCAAAUUCCUGUAUCAACACUGUUGAAUAAUAUAAUUUAUUCUAAGACCACCCGUGUACCUAUAUAUUUAUAAUUUUUUAGUUCAGUA